CACUUCCACUUGUGGUUUUGGGUUACUUGGAAGCAAUUUAGAGAUGCACUCUCCACUCUGGAUCCUGCUCCCUUUUUCUCUAAGCGCGACAGUCGGGGUCCGUUAGCUCUUCACGCUGCUCUCACAUCUGUGCCCAGUAACUUUGAAUACUUUCAAGACCAGUCUGAGAUGGUAAAUAAUGUUUGGCAGUGGUUAUGCCAAAGAAGAUCCUGACAGGGUGAGACAAGAAGACCUAACUGGAGGAAACUUAUCACUACAGAUUGUUGCACACCGGCGAAUUGGUAAAGCGACGCAAAAAGCGAUGCGAAAACGCAAAAUAUUCAGCCUACGCCUUUUUCUAUACACACCUGGUGCGACGCGAAUAAAAUUCGCAUACUCGCAUAAAAAUAUGCCAUGGGAGAACAGAGGGGGACAGAGAAGAAGGAGAAACAAUGGCGACUACAUCCUCAAGUGAUGAUGACCUGGUCAUGUUUAUAAGAAGAAUCAAAGUGUCUUGGUACAUCCAAUACUGACCUCGCAACAGGAGAUGAGGGAGCUCCACACAACGAUUCAGGAGCUUAAAUUUCAAUUUCAAGAACUGCUCCAUCAGCUGACUCCACGUUUGCAGAAGGUUAGAACAGAUUACAGAGAGCCGAUUGAUCCAGAGCAACAACUUACCACAUGUCUGAGGUAAGAUUUAUAUUAGGCUAUAGAUUUAUACAGCAGUUCACCUGCAAAUGUUCGCAAAAUUCGCUGGUGACGUCACACUAAAUGAUUGACUGGAAGGGGGUUGGAUGACGUGAAAGAUUGUGGUUGGUCCGGACAAAUUACAGAAGUGGGAUUAGGUUUCAUCGGAUUGUAGUUCUUCGGAUAAAACAUGGACGAAUUUUACGAAGAAAUCUAUCGCUACUUAUCAAAAGGGGGAUUACAACAGCUGGACUACCACCUCUUUUAGGUUGCUAAAGGAAAUGUGGAAUAAAAGCAAAACUGUCUAUUGAUAAAUGGAGAUCCUGGGUACAUACUGUAUUUUUUUUUCCCAUUUAGAAAAGUUAACAUAUACAAUUAAAGUCAUCUAAAAAAAAAAAAAAAAUACAGCAAAGUAAGUUGUAAUUCUCUGUAUUAAAUGGAGACAAAGGUUCAACAUGAAUUUAAUAAACAAAUAGAAAAAAAUAAAACUGCAAGAGUUUUUUUUACUGAGCACAUUUGAUUUAUCGAUUGCAGCGCAAUGUAGUUUGUCCCAGUGGACUUUCCAUCUUCAACAGGUGCUGGGCCCCGAGCCGAUCUGGCAGCCAGCGCACAUCUGGUACCAACACCGGAUCUGUCCAACAGGGCACCUUGGAGAAAGACUCCAACUGAUGACCCUGCAGCUAAUGCUUGAUGCUCUUUCGUUUGUUUUCUAGUUAUUGUUGAACUCCUGCAAAAACGUGGUUUUGUGAGAGCUUUCCUCGAAGGCAGCUGAGGGCUUAAUAUUCCUGUUGCAACAUUUUAUCUGCUGAGUGAUCCAUUUUAUUUAAAUGAGUCAACGCUAAUGUGAAGAUUAUUCACUGACACAGGCCUCCUGGGCGUACCUGACCUGCCAUCACUCUCUGUCUGCUCUCUGAAGUACAUGCUAUCCAUCUCACCUCACCCCUCCCGCUCUUUGCCUCCCACAGUAUUUGGUUUCAUGCCUUAUCCAAAUGUCAUGCCUCGGCUUGCUUAUACAGUUACCUUUGGUAACUUUUCCACUUUCAGCCUUUGGAGGAAAGAAAGUGAGUAAGCCGAGCAGAAACAGACCAAAUCUCACAGUUAUUUUUAAAGUAAGCUAAAGUACGGCUUUAACCUUUUUUUUUUUUUUUGCAUGUGUGGCAUGGUUUCUGACAGUAGUGGGUGUUGAUUGGUUGGCUAACACCUCUGACUUCUCUGGCUUCCCUCCACAUUUGCUUUCUUGACUUUUUUUUUUUUGGAGACAAAGUGAUUUCACAUCAGCCAACAACUUUAUUUAUAUACCCCUCGAUUCAGCGAGCAAAAAAAGGCCACAGCUCAAAGCAGCUGCAAGGACAUGUGCUUUAUCAGGACGUGUGUUUAUGCAUACCUGUGUGUAGUAUGUGUGUUGUGAAUUCCCAAAAGUCUGCACAUGCCACUAACUUUAUAGUAAAGGGUGUUUGUAGCAGAAUUUAUUCAUCUCAGUCAGAUUUUUUCCCAUGCAGAGGAACUUCAACUUGUGCAGACCUUAAAGGUGGGGUAGGCAGGAUUCUGUUCAAGAAGCAUCUUUUUUUGUGGUGUGUAUACAACCAAACUUUUAAUAUCAGUCAUUAGCUAUUAGUUAUUGAUGACAUUUGGUAAUAUAACAAUAUCGCUGUGUGUUGUUUGUUGUGUGUUGUCACUGUACUGUGACGCUGCACUGUUGCACACUUUGUACAUAGUAUUCUAUUUUUAUUCUAUUUUUUUAUUUUGUAUCAUUUUAUUUCAUAUUUUAUUCUAUUUUUUAUUACUUCACUUAGAAAAACACCACUCCGAGCUGUUUUUAAUUUCGUUGUAUGCCUCAUACAAUGACAAUAAAAAGUCUGAGUCUGAGUCUGAGUGUAGUCAACAAUUUAAAUUUUUUGAGCGGCCGCUCUUUCUGACUGUAAACAAAGCUGUUCUCCGCCUCCCCCAACCUUAGUUAGUGUAGAAACUAAGUAGAAACCAACCAGAAAGUUCGGAAAAUUGUCUGAAUCCUCCUUUGGCCACGACUGCCGACACAAGCGAGAAAACAAAGUAAAUACCGGAGACUCUGGCGGAAUAACGGGCGCUUAAAACAGAGGUGGACCGGACAAGAGCUGAAAAGCCGAGUCAACAUCAACGAUUAAUCAAUGGGCGGGGCUUCAGGAUCUUGGUGACCCUGUAACCUUUCUGCUGGACAGGUAAACCGCUUUAACAAAGUAAGACAAGUGUCUGUAACAGAAGUGUUUCUUGUCAAACGGACCUGCUGUAGCGUGUUGUAGUGCCGCUAAACUGUUGACCUCGGGUCCUGGACUAUGUCACUUUAUCCUAGUUGUAGAAGUCCUGCAGACAUUGUGUUUGCUGGUAGUCUGUUGGCAUCUACAGUAGCACCAAUGAUUUUUACUUUAAUUGAAACAAUAUGAGCAAGCAGGAGCGUCUGUUUGUGGGCGGAGCUUGCUGGAGCAGAGACUGAGGGGAAAACUGGUCGGGAGGGGUAGAGUUUACAUUCAAGAUUUCUCCCAAAAACUGGCGCUUCCUCAGAUCCUGCCUACCCCACCUUUAAGCGGUUCAGUCUGUCUGCUGUCCCUCAACCCCAGCUCUAGGUCGACACUUCCCAGAAGGGCGAUCAGAACUUUACAAUUAGUUGAUUGAACCUGCCUCCAGUGAGCCAUCUGCCUGGGCACACGGUGGAACUGAUGUCCUCACCUGCCAGAGGCAAUUAACUCUAAAUACGACUCGCCUCGCUCAUGCAGCGCCAUUCUCCUCCCAGCUGAGAAUAAUAAGGUUGAACUAUGUUGAAAUUGAAGAGGGGGCGGGAAACCUGCUUACGGUCCCUAGAGGGUGAUGGGUAAUUACUUCCGUCAGAUUUAUACUGGCAGUCAUGUGGAAUGGUGGACGACUGUCUUCGACCCUCAUAGGCGGAGGAAAGGCAGAAGAGGUUUUCCGGCUGCGGCGGAUCAACUUGGCUGGCAGGAUGGAGAGGGGGCGAUCAGAGGGGGAAGGGUAGGGCAGCUGGGGAAGGUUAUGUGAUUAAUUGAAGGAGCAGCUCAGGGUUAGUCUUCAUUGUUGGGGUGAUGGGUCAAAUGAGUCCCACAUUGAGUGCGUCACCUGAUGCAUGGCUCGCCCCCUGUCCUCGACAACGCUGAGUGAUGAAGUUGUAACUCAGAGCGCAGAAAGUGAGAAAGAGAUGGAGUCGAGGAGGAGAGCGAGACACGAGGACACCCGAGGAAAAACAGAUUUUGUGGGUUCUCAGACCCUCUCCUUCGACUGACAUUUCAAUUAAAUUGCUAUCACAAGUGCCAAGAGUAUUGUUGACUUCAUAUCUCGCCGAGAUUUUUUUUUUCACUCUGAAGGAUUUGAAUUACUUGAAAAGUGUAGGAAAUGUCCCCAACAAAGGCAGGAGAGGAUAGAAGUGCCAAAGAUAGUCUCAAGCUUCAAUGACAACAAAUAGAUGUCUACUAUUAGAAGGGAUUAGUUUUCACAGAAGAAAGAUAAGAGCCGCGAAGGUGAUUUCCAUCCACCAAAACACAUAAAAUACGACUUAAUGUGAUUCACUUUCUCUGUUCGACAUCAAGACAUUGACAUGCUUCGUUUUUUAUCUAUUUUAAAAUUCCUCAGGGUGUCUGAUGUGAAUGUCACUGCAGCUCUGCUCCCCAUUUCAGCCAUUAAAGUCGUCCUGAAACAUGACGGAUCUUUGAAGCCGCACCCCCGCUCUUCGUCCCAGCAGUGGUUUUCUUCCUCCCUGCCUAAAAAAGGAUGACGUGUACGAGCUUUGUGUCGUAUUUUCGAACCUGUUGUGUCGACAAUAUCGACACUGGCAUGUUUUUCUUUUAAUUCCCUCUCUAUUUUUCUCCUGUUUCUUUUUCUACCAUUCAUAAAACGUCAUUUUAUGUGGCGUGGUUAUCCUGCUGCACGGUGUCCUUGAAAACAACAGUAAAGAUCCACAGAAUGCUAAGAGGCACAUGGCGUAUCAUUGAUAGCAGCAGUGAGCUAUCAAUCUUUUAAACAGAUGGCCUAUCAGUUGCCCGGCUUUGUCCUCACCGUGUCUACUACACCGCACAGAGGUGACCUCUCAGAGAUAAUGCGCAUUAAAGACGACAGUACACGCUAAAUUCACUUUAAAGUAAAAAUGACUCUCCGGAAAGAGGAAAUACAGCAUAUCUGUCUUGCUUUGAUAAUUCUGAUCAUCAUUUUUUCCGUAGAUAAUUAGCAUUAUUUCAUAUAUUUUCAUGCCCUAUUUCUCAGAGGCUAAUGAAAGCUGAGGAGAAGUAUAAAAUAAACGAUGAGGCUAUAAGCAGACGCCCAUUGUUCCUCCAGCACGUCCCGCUUAUCAACAGCUCCAUGUUGGCUUUUACAGCGCAAGAAAAAGCAGCCAUGUCAAUCCUCAUUAAUUCUCCCUGUGAAUUAGAGGCAAAGUAGAUGAUAGGAAAUUAAUGUCUGCAAGGAGAUACUUAAAUUAUUCAACAGUAACAGGAUUAUGAUGAAAGAUCACCACACUAGCCAUUCUACCUCCUCCUUCUUUUCAUGCUUCCUACCUCUUUCUUUUACUUCUGUCAGAUACCACCCGUCACCCUCAUCACAUGUGUUUCUAAUUCCUAUUCAUAACACUUUUGUUCGGCCUAUUUUAGAGCUCAACUCACGGCAAAAGAUCCGCUGUAAGAGCUCAAAACUUAACAGGGACAGAGAGUCAGAGACAUGUUUUAACAGGACACAGAUGCACACAGAGUGAAAGAGGGAGGAGGUCAUCUAAGUUCCUAUAUGAAGCAGGCAAAGCAGGAAUCUCAUCCAAGGAGAGCAUCAGUCAGGCAGUCAGUACAUUUACAUGACACUCGAGAAAACCAAAUUAUUGCCUUAUUCCGGACAGACCGGACAACUGAAGUGCAUGUAAACACCUUAGUCUGACUAUAAUCAGAGUCUGAGAACUCUGAUUAAGAAACCAAGGUUAAUGUGAUUGGAAUUUGAUUUUCUCUACCGUGUAACCAGCAUAGUUGGAGUAUGAUAGGACGAUGCAUGUGUGCGUGCACCAUGCCCCCAUAACCCCGCAACAAAAACACCAGAGAAGAGGAGUAGCAUGCCCCUUAUCGACAGAAAAAGUAGCGCAUACAUCAUGUACGACAAAAACAACGCCGUACUCGUAGCCACUUCUGACGUCUGGCACGGACCUGCUGUUGUUGUUGAUGGUUGUAUGGGGUAAACCAGAAACAGCACCGCUGAAAUGACCCAUAUCGCCCCCUAGUUUUGGGGAGGAGGACAUGUUUACGUCAAUAAUACGAUUUUCUCAGCUGCAUGUAUAUGAGGACAAGGAGAGAAGUCUGAAAACCGAAUUAUGAGCUUAGUCCGAUUAAGCUGUGCAUUUAAAUGCACUGAGUAAUAACUAGUUAUCAAAUAGAAGUCUCAUUGCAAUUUGGUCUAUGAGAAAAAUUCGUCAACUUGGUUCAGGAGAGUCAAUUUUUUUUAAAAAAGAGUCUACAUUGGGAAUUAACCAUAAGUAAGUGCAAUAUUUACCUUUAUCUAUGAAACAAACCACGUUUGUAUGGUGUGAAAUACAAUCCAAAAGAAAUACAAUCCAAAAGAAGUUGGAUGUUUCAUUUUGUGUCUGUGCCCCACUUCUUUUCCAGCGCGGGCUAAUCUGCGCUGAAUUUAUGCAGCAUGCUGCGGCAUCCAGAAAAAGUAGAACCCCAGCGAUCGGCUACGAAGCCCGCUGAACCACAGGGGCUGAAAACUAGCUGGUGGAAUUUGUCACAUUUACUUGAAUGGAAAUGAUCGGCACCUGUGGCCUUUUCGCCACCAUUCUGCAUGCUGCAAAAAAAUCUAUACAUUUUGAGGGCGGGAGGUCACAAGUUCAUACUUGCCAGCAUUAGGUUGUGAAAAAUAGGGACAUUUUUUUUAUUGGUGUAUUGGCCCAAGGAACAAGGUUCCUUCGCCAAGUGUGCACAUAAAUCGUCAUCUUUUCUUGAGUUGAAUUUUAAACCCAAUGAAGAAACCUUACUCUGAAAGAGUUUUCUGCUCCUCCAGUUUGUCUUUGUCAGUCUUUAAGCACAAAUCUAAAAAGUAAGCUAUAAGUUAAAUAUCUUCCUUGAUAUAACUUGCAUUUUUGACGCAUUGUCCACAGGUUGAUUUAAAAGGAUCAAAUAUGAGCAGGAAAGGACAUCUUUGGCAGGAUGAUGUGUGAUCUGGUUGUCUUUGGCAGAAUCACUUACAGGCAUUUGGAUCAAGUAGAGCCACAGAUUUAUCACAACAGGAAUAAAGCCAGGUAAAAAUAGAAAUAAGUAAGGUGUGCACUCUCUGAUCGUCUGCGUUUCAGCAUCUUUUUAAUUCAUAGUUUUGUAUUUCUUUGAUUUCUACAGUUUGUUUUUGUUUUACUGUGUUGCUGUUCAAUCCAGGAUCAAGCAGAAAAUCAGACAAGAACUCAUUCUGGUAAUUUCUUUAGAAUAGAGUCAAAAACAUUUUAAAUGGCAGUUGUUUUGUUCCUAGAACGAAAGCUUGAGAAAUCUUUUGAGAAUUUUGCAAAAACAGGCAAGAGUGAGCUGUGACCCCAGGCAGAGUGACAGACAGAGAGACUGACUGUGGAGGCAUAUGAGGAUAAUAUACAACCAUGGCAACAGAGAUUUGAGGAUGCUGUAUGUGUUCGCAGUGAAUAGACCCGGCGUACGGCUUUUGCUUUAUCUGCGGAGAUGGCCCGACAAAGAUCGCUGUGUGUAUUUUCAAGAACAAAAGCGGCUUAAACAGCUCUGUGCCACGCAACAACAAUAACCUGAAAGUGAAAGAGAAACAUAAUUGCUUAAAUUAGAAAGUGAGUUGAUAUUGCAUAAGUCACUCUGGAUUGAAAAGCGGGGUAAGUUAUGUAACUCGUGGUUUUGCGUGUCUUUUGAUGAACACAGACAAUAAAUCCUGUUUGCCAAAUGAGUCAUUACUGCGAAGAAGCACCUGUGACUUCAGAUGAUCAAACAACCAACCUGCAGGCUGAGAGGAAGCUUUUUACCCACAACUCUACUGUAUAUCAAUCAAACUCUUAUUCUUCACUUUAAGGGGGGUAUCAAGUAUUUUUUUCAGACUCUAUAUUUCCUUUUUUGAUACCUUUUUAAUAACUUAACAUGAUUUUUAGAUCAAUAAAAGCCUCACGUUUCUCACAGCGGUGUAUUAAAAUAUCAUUUUUUCAGCCUCCACAUGAAAUGCUUCGCUUUAGCUGCUGUCUCUUUAAGGCCCCCCCGCCACAAGCCCACUCUCUUCUGAUAGGUCGGCUGAAGGCAGAGCUCGUUGUUUUGGCCCCGCUUCCUCGAUCGUGGUCGAUCAGCUGAGCAGUGAAACAGGGUUACUUCAGUAAAUCUCGCACAUGGACUACGGUCUCGUAUUUGUCCGAGAGUUGAGCAUUUUACAUAAUUUUUUAGGAUUAAAUCAAAAUUUAAAUGAUGAUUUGAAACUUUGCCUCUAUCUAGUUUGGACACCAAACUUUGUAACUUUGGGUUUUUGUUUGUAAUUGUGGAAAAGCAUGAUUACCCCCCUCCCUUUCAAGUGGAAAUGACAGUAUGAUCCGCUCUUACGUGGUUUGAUGUAGGACAAUAAGCACAAUAUGGAAAACUAAAGGGAUCAUGCAGAAAAAAACAGAUAAAUAUAAAUUAUAUUAUAUAUGGUUACCCCGCUCCGCUGUAGGUGUCACUUCACACGCUGUUGGAGGCAGGCCAUUUUUGCAUAUUGGUCCGAGAUUUCAGCAGUUUACAUCUACUUUCUCAGAUUAUGACAAAAUACGUUUACCUUGUGGUUUAAAACUUUGUAUACAUGUAACUUUGCAGUUUUUUGUUGUAAAUGUGAAAAAGCAUGAUACCCCCCUUUAACAAAUGCUGGAUAUAUUCAAUCUUUUAAGGCGAAACAAAUUAGCAAAACUUUGAGCAUUGAAGCCUUUUUAUAGUUUUUUACCCUGUUAGUGAGAUGCAAAAACAAACACAGAUAAUAAACUGCACUUUGUAGCUGCUUCCCUUUGCAACAAGCCUUGGUUGCGAAAUGUUGGAAUUUAAUUUUGGCACGAUCACUGAUAUUGGCAGGAUAGUGUGGUUUCUGUUGGUACAUGAAGUUGGACUUACAUUCAUAUUUUGGAAGCAUUUAAAACGCACACACCUUUCUUUAAGUCGACUGCUUUGAGAAAAGAUUAAUCAAACUCAUAAGAGCUUCAAAGAUACUGCAUGAGUGAGCAAGUUUUGUUGGAAACACCUGUGACCGUGUGACUACAAAAGCAGCUCAGUUUAUCAAUCAGCAGUUCACUGUUGUGACUACCAGAGUCUGUUUGAUCAGACAGGUCUGGAGACAGUUAAAGCUGGUAGUAAGGUUAACAUCUUCGAACAUGGUUUCACAAGACAGUGUCAGGAGAUCUGAUCAGCGAUGAUGCAGAGAGACAUGAUCAGAUAAUGCUUUGAACCUACAAUCCUGUUCAGCAUGUCUGAGGCCACUCUCCAGGAAAAUACUCAUCUAUACCAAGAAACAGGAGCAAAAUCGUUUCUGGUUUUACUGUCUCCAGACUUGUUGUUGAAACUGAACACUUAGGAUAAUUUUUUCCUCCGUGUAAGAAAGAAAUUAUUCCGAAGGCACGUUCAUUUCUACACCGUUAUUGUGUUAUUUCCUACAUAAUCCAUGAGGGAGUAAUAUUCUGUACUCAAACUGUUCUUUCUGUAACAAAGCCUGGUGAAGAAAGGAGUCCUCCCUCCUGUGAGAGAAAAUGUAGCCGCUCACCGCUGCUUUGUCCUUAAGAGGCAGCUCAGGAUGUCUGCAGAGAAGAAACCUGAGGCCGGCGAUGUACAAUGACUGUGCGCUAAUUAUCAACUGCUUCAGUUAAUGGAUGAUAAAUUAUUCAUCUAUCAGGGGUUAUGGAUACAUGACACAGAUCUUUAACAAUGGUACUUCUGUUUUACCCCCAAUUUUAGGGUUUAGCAGUGCAGUGCAGGAGUGUUUGGUUCUAAUAUUGAUGCUAUAGGCUGAUUUUAAAGCAGCUUAUGUGCAAGUUUUCCCUUAUAGUUAAAUUUUCUUUUCUGUAAUCAACCCACAAAGGUCAUAAUGCUGAAAAAUCUUUCUUAUCUAACUUUAAACGAGUUUUAGAUGCGGUUUGAAUAACUGGGUGAACAAAAACAAAAGGGCAUUCCCAAGUCGGAGAGCCUGAGGAAAGGGUAAAUGUGGGGAAUGUGAUAAAUUAGCUCUUAAUACUGGAAAAAAAGGAGGUAAAACAGGGAGGAUAAGAGUAGAUUCUUUUAUUGUUUUCUUGGGGUGGGAGAAGAUGGAUGGAGAGGAAAAAGGAAGAGAGCAGAUGUACAAUAGGAAGAGUAAUUAGACACUGAGAGCAGGGAAUCUUUUACCGCACAGUUAACGCAUAUUAAACCAGCGCCUCUCCUUUGUCUUCUGUUCUACCCAAGUACUGUAAGACGUUUUUAGACUUGCACUUAUAUUGCACUUAUACUACCCAUUUACCUGUUCAUCCACAAAUAACAGAGGACACCACUGUUUUUUUAUUUAGACUAAAGCAGAAAAAAAAAAGUUGUUUGUGUUGAUGAUACGAGGGGGAUGUGGAGGACAGUGUUGUUUCUGUGAGCAGAGGUACAAGUGUUUGCUUUAAUAGUGUUUCUUACGUGUGCUCUGUGAGAAAUAGCCUCUUUUUAAAAGUAGAAAGUGAAGCAUACUCAGGGUAGCAUGAACAGGAUCUGUGCAAUGUUAGCGUCGCGUAUCGCACAGCAAAUAGGUUCCCAUUCUAAUCAACGCAGCAUCGCUCAUGACGCUUAUCAGCUCCGUAUCAGAAGCUCUGCUAAAGAUACGCGUAAAGUCAAUUUUUGCUGCUCUACGCUUCCAACAUGCGUCAGUCUACACAGAGAAGAUCGUUCUAGACAGGUUUUAGUGUCAGUAAAUAAAAUGCCAAUUAAUAAAAUGCAAAUAUAUCGAGAUUUAUAGCUGUAACACAUCAUUGCCCAGUCUUUCAAGUCAAAUCAUAAUGUUGUAACAUAACAAUGUACCAAUAAAUGCUAUAAGUACAAAGUUUUAAUACUUUUCAAAUGGUUGAGUAAAAGAAAUAAUUGAGUGUACCGUGUAACUGCACAGUAGUUUUCUUUGUUUUUCAUGUGGGUUUUAGACGACAAAUGUCGUCACAUGUAUUUUUGCGUUUCCAGUCAACGGUAUGUUAACAGAAGUCAUUUGGAUAUUGCUCGGCUCUGUACUUUGGAGACAGGCAAGAGUUUCUAAGUUUUUUUUCGUGGAUGUAGCCGGUGUCUCUUGUAGCUGCUUCUAUAUGCUGUUUAUUCAGGAGGGACGGGUAAGUGAUCCCUGGGAGCAUUUCCUUAGGCUUAGACAAACGUUCCUUCUCCUCGCGAUAACACCAUUUUAUCACAUUAUGCCACGUUUAACAGUAGAUGCCGUUUUUAUUGGCCAAUUCCACGAUUCCGUUAACGUGGAAAUCACAGGGCCCUAAUCUUACGAUCUCUUCCCUUUAAGUCUGCGUUAGUUACUUGGAGAUAUGCGGCUCUAUACCCUCCAAAUGUUCCCCUAAUAUUGACCAUGUAGUUGCUGACUGUCUGUCUCUGCUGCUUGUUGCUCUGACUGCAGAGUAAAGUGGAUUUAUCAGAGAUUUGUCACAAAAAGAAACAACCUGCUGUCGACCAAAUGUUGUUGAAGCAAAGGGAAAAACAAAACGAAAAUGAGCUGAAACUGUGGAGUCGUUUCCUCUCCACAUCAUCUGAUCAGUUGUUCAUAUGAAAAUGAUGCUGCUUUCAUAAUGAGACAUUACAUUUAGUUUGUGUAAAACGGGUCUCUGUAAAGUGUCUUUGUUGAUUCAUUAGCGUUCACAUGGGAGUCAGGGUGUCUCUACAUGUGUGCGGCUUUUAUUCAGUACUUCAGGUGUUUUGUCUUUGCUGAUACAGCUAAUGUAUUCUGCACCUGCCCGUUAUUGUAAUCUUCCAGAGAUGUUAUUAUCACUUUGAAGCUGCCACAUUAGAGUUUAUCCGAGCCUUUUCAUGUUUUCCUUUCAUUUUUCUAUUAGGAAAUGUAAUGUCUCUCUUUUACUACAGUCACUAUAAACUCACUUUGUUGGCCAGAUGGAAAUUAAAGGGCCUGGAGAUAAGUUGAAUGUUUACAGUUUAACCGAGGAAUAAUGUAGAAACAGAUUAAAUUACGCCCACUUUGGACCUGACUGCUCAUAACCUGUGUCAACUUUAGGACCGUGACCUUAAAGGGAUAUUCCAGCGUAAAUUUAGGUCAUGGUCAAACACACUUUAACACCGAGUUAGACACCCCCUAAUGUUGCGGACCGCUUGCUUCUCUAGUAGCGACCGCACGAUAGCAACACACAGCGGUCUACAUCUCCACGCGCAAACCUCAACCAAAACGCCACUCAUUAGCCACAAAUAAUGCUCAGAACAGCACCUAACUUCAUCAACAGGACAUAUAGGGUCCCAGUCAUACUAGCCAUCAAACAUCUUUUUAGCUUUGCCUAAUUUAUUAGCAAAGAGACUAAACACAACUCACCUACUCUCCUCCAGCAGCCGCUUGUUUGUGGGGGGAGCCCUGACGAGUCGAUCACCGAGAGCACAGGAGUUUCACGGCUCAAGGAAGAAUGUUUGAUUAUUUCUUCAUGGAAAUGCAAUCAGACCGAGAUGCCUACCCCAAAUUUCCACCGCAUCUGGAAUGGCUCCAAUCCAGAACGGAGGCGAUUUUCUCUGUCCGCCAAUUCCUACCGGAUUCGUAUGUGAGGCGAAAUUCGUGGCAGAUUAUGGACAGCGGGGAUUGCGAGAACUCACAAGAACCCAAGAACGGAUUCACGAGCAAUUGCGUUAUAAUGAGUUGUUGGAAAGAAGCCGGUGGAAAUUGACAUAUUAACCUGAAUGGUUACGAUCAGUUGUGAUCGGCAGAUAUGGCCUUUUUUUGUACACGUUCUGGAAGCAGUGGAAUUUGAACGACUACGUCUGCAGAUCAAAAUGAUUAUUAUGAUGAUUAUUACUUUAAGGAAAUGAUCCGCUGCACUCAGUGAUCGACUCGUCAGGACUAUGGCACAUGGUUACAUCAUCAACUUGCAUUUAUCGUAUUUAUCAUGAGAUGGCAAAUAUUUAUCAUGGAGGAUUUUUCCUGACAAUAUAUCGUGAACAAUAAUUUAUCGCCCAUCCCGAAUCGCAAGAACCCAAGAUCUUAAAAGGGACCUGAGCCAAACAAGUUUAUAACCUCAGUUGUUGACUGUUUGUGCCAAAACACAUAAAGAUGACAGACUUUCCAUUUUUAUUUGAUAAAAAGGCUUUAAAACCCAAACCUGAGCAGCCGGAGGGAGCCUCUAAUAACAGCAGCCAACCUGUUAUUCUUCACAGUGUUGCCUCACUGUUCCAGCUCUGCAGUUGUUUCUGCUAAUUUGCUUGUUCUGUUAAAUCCCAAAACAAAAAACAAACAAAAAAGAAAAAAAACCGACCACAUCAGGCAGUUAUGUGCAAAGGUCACAAAUGUCUACUUACCCAUAAAAGCACAUUACACCUUGGAUGGAAAUAUCACCAUCUGAGCGCCGUUUCCUACAUUUCCCCCAGACGCCAUUCUGGCAGAUGUCUAUCCCCUUAAAGAAAAGAGCGAUUGAAUGCUUUACUGAGCCGACAUCUAUUUAAAACCAGCAGAUUGAGUGAGCCAGAUGUCAGAUGUGUUUUCAUAUUAGUCACAGCUCACUGGCAAGGAGGAUAAAGUUGGCUACAUCAACAGGACAUGCUGGCAAACAGCCAGAGUUGUCCAGGCAUACACAGAUGACAGCCCCAUCAACCGAAUGACAAAGCUAGGUGGCUAAGAUAAUGUGAUGUUAUUCAUUGACACUGCAUUUUCCCACUGAGCCAUUCAAAGUGCCAUCUACAUAAAAUACCAAACAGGAAUAUUAAGUGGCUCAGACUGACAGUGUCUCAUUCAUAUUGAUGUUCAGCUGUUUGUAUCAGGCCCGCUUUGACUUUUCCCUCUUUUAACGCCGUCGUAUGAGAAAAGAAAAAAAAAAACAGCAUCAUGCCUGUUUUAAGGUAAAACCUCAAGUGGCCUUCUUGAUUUCUGCCAGGACCACAUCAUAUUUAUUUUCUGAUCUCACCCAUUUCAUCUUGAAGAGCUUUGAAGAAAUGUGACGGAGUGUGUGAGGGGAAUAACCUGACGCAGGCCUCGGGCGUACAUGGUAAACUCUCUUGGUUUUUCAGUAGAGCUGUGCAGCGUGCUCUUCAUGUUAUUUUCGACGGGAGUGUCUGCCUCCAGCAUCUUGGAAGUGCACUUUUAAGAGAAUGAUCCGCACCCUCAGGUUUGAUGUUUUCAGAGCAGAAGAACGGCAUCAUUGGAGCGCUCUGAAAACAAGAAUAUCUGUGGAGGUGUGGCUGCAUAAACAUUCAGACAGUCACUUGUUUUUAGAGCCAUUGCCUGCUCUGGUUCAGCGAUCAAUUUGGAUGAGUGAAUUAAAAAGUACAGUUGUGAUUUCAGUCCAACAUGUAUUUUAAAAGUCCUGUGUUAGUCAAAUUGUUGCAAUACAUCAAAAUCUUCACAUUACCCAUGUCAUUUUUAAGCGCUUUUCUUCUGCAGAGCUCCAGUAGCUUAUUAGCAGUUCACCCCUAUGUCAUGGGCAGAGACAGCGCUGUUCUCCACACUCCUCUUCAUGCUAGCUUGUAGCCUAACAUUGCUGGUGCAGUAGAAGUAGCAAGUAAUAUAGCAGAGUGACCAUAUGUCCUCUUUUACCCAGACAUGUCCUCAUUUUGGGGGCUGUCCAGCCUUGUUUUUGAAGGAGUUUAUAAAAUCCUUUUAAUGUCCGUGGUUUUGGUUAUUCAGCUCUCGAACACUAAUGUCUUUAGCCGCAUAAUGAAAGCUAACAUCAUAAUUAGCUUUGUUAUGCACAUGUUCUGCCAUCGUCCUCUCCACUUCUCCGAGUCUGGCCUGCAGAGUGGGGCGCCUGCAGCAGAGCAUGGACUUGUGAUGUAGAAUUUUGCGCUUAAUUUUUUCAUGAUACGUCCUCUAGCAUCAGAAAAAUGAUAUAUGAACAUGCAGACAACAAGAAAAACACAAUUUUCAUCACACAGUGCCCGUCUGCUGACAGGACUGCUGACAACAUAUUGGUACUACUUAGUAGCUGCGCACGUCCCCCGUAAUUACCCCCAAUAAAAACUGUUGUUCAGGACUGCGGGCAACAUGCUUACUCGUGCUUCCUACCUACUCAGCAACCGUAAUAACUGUUGUUCUAGUCUACAUGCAACAUUUUAGUUCUCAUUCAUGGAACACUUAAAUCGGGGACAUUUCCGGGGACAGCUUUAGCCAGGGACAGGUCAUCCACUACAGGGACUGUCCUCUGAAGUCGGGGACGUCUGGUCACCUUUGUUACGGUACCAUUACCAAAUAAAGUCGCGGGGAUGCUAUAUCCAAGUCAGCUGCUCAAUUGUGAAUGAAUGCUAUUAGCCUGUGUAGUAGAAGAUGAGCUAGCGUCUUGUGCUAGCUUAAUGCUGGACGAAUAGACGACAUGUUGCAGUUCUAGACAUUUUAAAAAAGGAUUGGCUUUUUAAUCUACAAGUACACCAACAGAAAGAGUGAGACAGUAAGAAAACAGCCAUAGGUGUGAAGUGUAGGUAUACUUUGAUUUUUGGAGACAGUUUUAUUUGGGAGAGUAGCGUCACCACUUUAAACCAUAUUCUUGGGAUCUCACAUUUCAACUUUAUUUGUAUAAUUAUUUUUCACUUUAUCCCUGUGCUAUUGCCCUAAAGACUUUAUUCAUGAGCUGCAUUAUGAAUGAAAUUAAUUAUCUUCCUUUAUUUUCUCAUCCGUGCCACCAAAACACUUAAGUAAGCACUCCACCUCCUCUAGUCCUCGAAAUACUCAAAUAUUCAUCUUUUACUCGCACUUGUGUGGAGUGAUUAUUUUCAAAUAUGCAGUAUGUUUGUUUAAAAGAUCAGGAAAAAAGACUGCUCAUAUAGUUUCUAUUAUUGUGCAAUGAAAUUGUAGGGAGAUUAAGUCAAAUACAUUCAGUGAGGAUGAAAGUCUGUCACAUAGAGGUAAAUGAAGUGUAGGCAGACAGAAUGAUUAAAACAAACGGUGUGUAAUCCAGACUGUAUUACAUUAAAUCUAACCAGUGUUUUUUUCUUCGUGUGCAUCUGACUGUGAGAGGAGAAAGCUGACAUAAAACAAAAACACAGUGUAACAGUCAGACUGGGAGAAAAAAAAUAAAAAACAAAUUACAACAGCACACAGGGUGAAAGGUCCACAUUUCUGCUGGAGGACAAAUUUGGCUUGAAGGCGGAAAAAGAGUGAGGUGAGGAUGAAGGUCAGCGCUCUGGUUAACAAGGUCAGCAGAAGGCCGACCCACGGUGCAGCCAAUCCACAGCUAGACACACUCGCCGCUGCAAUAAAAGAUGUCUCUCCAAAGGUCAAAUCAGCGACUGGGAAAAUUGUCAGAGCUUGGUGGUUGUAUUUUUAUGAGAGAAACACAUCCACACACCGAGCAGCAGUAGCACACUGAACAAAUAGAUGAUUUUUUACUCCCCUCAGUGCCGGAUGAGAUUGUUGUUUUUAAACAGAGACUCUCCAGGAGUUUUCCAGCAGAAAGCUUUCAAUUUCAGGAGUAUAAAUGCUCUCUGUAGACAGCUGGCACCUCUGCUGUACGACUAAUGUCUGAGAGACAUGCUUUAAAGCCUUAGUGUAGAUUUCAUCACCGUGGAUCAGACUAAAACGGUCUUUGCUUCGUGUUUACACUCAACCAGUCACGCUUCCAUCGCAUGCAGAUGACACAACGGUCCUUGAAAUCCCGAUGUCUCCCAUUUCUAGCAAACCAGCGAGAUAAGGGCCGUAAUAAUAGCCGCAGUGAUGCAAGCAGUGUAAAUAUUUGCAUAAACGUGGCAGAAAACACAUUAAGGAAAAGCAGGCUGUUUUGAUCACAGCACCUGUCUGCCAUUGAUCUGCAGCCAAUGGACGUUCAGCUCCGGCUCUGAAAGACAAGAUGAGUCACUACAGUGGAGGAGGAAAGAGAGCUUUUCAGUUUUGUUCACAAUGAAGGGUAUAAAAUGUGUGAUACAUAAUGUAAAGAAAAGCCCCGACAGCUAUGUUUUCCACUGAAUAUGACUGUCUAGAUCAGUAGAGAUGAGAGAUACCGAAUCAUAGAGAUGAAGCCUCUCUUAUCCUUGCAGCACAAGUGUGCGACAGAAGCUGGAACUAAAAAGCACACCCAUCUGUGAUGAUGAUGAUGAUGAUGAUGGCUUUGGUGGCGGACAACACGCUCACACACUAACAAACACACCUACACAUUUACAGCAUAUAUUAGGACUUGUAAAAAAAAGUGUGAAAUCGGGGACAUGCCUCUUCCAAAGUAAAUUUUGUGGCGUGCAGGUUGACUGAAAAGACUCCUGCACGCCACAAAAUGGCAAUUAGGUAAAAUCUGGAUGAUCUUAGAUGGAUUACAAGAGGAUUUAAAGUGAUCUCACUCGACCUCAAAAUGAUCUCAGGAAGAUUUCAGUUCAUUCUGGGUGACGUUUGGUGAUCAUGAGCUGAUCUCAGGAGGAUUUCGCAGUGAAUUUAGGCAAUUCAAGUUGAUUUAAGGUUCACAUGACCUGCAAUGGAAAACUUAAAAAAAAAAAAAUAAUCAACUUACUCUUAAAAUGAGACGAAUGAUCUUGUUGCUCCACUGGAUUAUAUUGUAAAACAUUUUUCUACUCUACCUCUGGUUCAUUCUGGAAUAUCUUGUGAAGAAAAAGUUAGCCAUUUUCUCUUAAAAUUAGAUAAUCUUUCUAGUGCCAAACAUGCUUGACAAGAUUAAUAUUAUUUUUGUCCAAAAAAUUAAGACUGAUUUCCUUAAUAUUAGACUGUUUUCCUUUCUUGAAAUUCCUUUUUUGCAGUGUGAAUUAGAGAAUUGAAGAUUCUGUUAAUAUUACUCUAAAAACAGUGAUAUAAGUAUUAUCAGAGGAGAUACUGAACACACAGAAACAUGCACAAACAUUCCUCGUACAUAUUUUGCAUGAUUUAUUAGCUCCGUAUGCCUUAUCUCUAUAUCCAUGACACUAGCCCAGCCUGCCGUAAAUAACCUUGUGUCCCCUCAUUAGUAGGACAGUUGUGUCUCCCCCGGCUUCACCGGCACACACACACACACACACACACACACACACACACACACACACACACACACACACACACACACACACACACACACACACACACCAUCCCCCUGAGACCAGGCCGGUCAUCAGCAUCAUAAAUCCAUGGGGCACAGAGUCUGGCAGUGAGAGCCUGACCGCUAAUUAUACAGACAAGUAGGACCUGGCAUGGAGGUGACCCAGACACUCAGGCUGGGAAACCCUGAAAUAAACAGAGAGAUACAAGCUAAUGGCAAUGCAUUGUGGGUUCUCUGCUUGGGGGGUGAUUUCCCAACUUUUGCCUCAUCGGUAAAAACUAAUAAAUUGAUUGGUUUAAACAAAUAGCUUCAUUUUGUUGGCUGCUUAUGAAAGAAGCUAAGGGUCUUACCUUGUGCUGUCUGGAGGCGAGGCAAAGAAACAGCCUGAGAUAUAACACUCAAGUUGCACGCUUAUAAAUAUUUCAUUUUUAUGCAGAAUCUCAUUUGUCUGACGUUUGUUUUGUGCGCUUCGCCUGAUAAUCCUGUUAUGGCCUCCCAGCACUAGUUUCCCAUCAUGUCAUCAGUUUGUGUUUGUGUAUGUCCACUCAACAUGUCCAGUCAUUUAUUCACAGCCAGAUUCUUCAGUCCACCUAUCCGGCACAAACACUGAGGCCGGCUCCUUUAUUCUUGCAGUGUAUUAACUGUGCGUUCCUGCUGCCAACAUGAUUUCUUCUGUUCUCAAGGAGCAAGUCAACCUCUGCCACUCUCCUGCUGUCUUUAGCUCUCCAGCCAUCACUUCAUCUCAGCCUUACCAGUCUGGUGCCUUUUAAAAUCCUUUUCAACACACUCAGUUGGGUCUGUGUUAGGCAUUAGGUCUACAGGAGGACUGCUGGUUCGGUAAUAGGAACAGAAUACUGACAAAGUGGUUGGAUGUGACAGGAUCUUACUAACAGGCUUGUUUAGCGUUUAAUCAGGUAAAACGAUCAAACUGGGCUGUACUGGUACCCUAUGUAUUAAAGGUGGAGUGGGCAGGAUCUGAGGAAGUGCCAGUUUUUGGGAGAAAUCUUGAAUGUAAACUCUACCCCUCCAAAACAUUUUUUUUUCCCAGCAAGCCCCGCCCACAAACAGACGCUCCUGCUCGCUCAAAUCGUUCCAAUUAAAUUCAGAUAUAUUUCAGACAAAUGGGGCCCAGUCAAGGUGAAAGCAAAAAUCAUUGGUGCUACUGUAGAUGCCAACAGACUACCAGCAAACACAAUGUUUGCAGGACUUCUACAACUAGGAUAAAGUGACAUAGUCCAGGACCCGAGGGAGACAGUUUAGCGGCGCUACAACAUGCAGCAGGUUUGACAAGAAACACUUCUGUUGCAGACACUUACCCGGGAUUUCCACCGCAUCCAGCCAAUGUCCGCCAAUUCCUGACGGAUCCGUUUGUGAGGCGAAUUUCGUGGCGAAUUACGGACAGCAGGAAUCGCGAGAACUUACAAGAACCUGCGGAUUCACAUGCAAUGAACAAGUUGCCACAUAGGCUAACCAUAUAAGCAGUAGAUUAUAUUGACACAUUAACUUGAAUGGUUACGAUCAUCUAAGAUCAGUGGAUACAACCUUUUCGUAGCCGCUCCGGAAGUGGUGGAAAUUGGGGGUUAGCUUACUUUGUUAAAGCGGUUUACCUGUCCAGCAGAAAGGUUACAGGGUCCGUAAGAUCCUGAAGUGUCCCCAAUCGUUUUAUGUUGAUCCGGCUUCUUAGCUCUUGUCUGGUCUACCUUCAUUUUAAGCGCCCGUUAAUCCGCCAGAGUCUCCAGUAUUUACUUUGUUUUUUUGCUUGUGUUGGCAGUCACGGCUAAAGGAGGAUUCAGACAAUUUUCCGUACUUUCUGGUCGGUUUCUACUGUCCAAUAUUGUAGCACGCUAACUUUGUUUAGGCUCGCAAACAUUAUUCGAGGACGUGAAGCGUGCCUCACAACACGAGGGAGCAGCGUCCGCCUCACAACCAAUCAAGUCGCUUUUUUGUAUAUACACCAAAAAAAAGAUGCAUCUCUAACGGAAUCCAGCCUACCCCACCUUUAAUUUAACAUACUGGUGGUGAACAUUAUGUUGAUCAACUUUACAUGGUUAUAAUUUGUUCAACAUCUAUAAUUAGACUCUCCAUAUGUUUUCUUCUUGACAUCUUGCCACUUUUGGCAGCCAUGUCUACUCAUGAACUUCAUUAAAGCAAAGGAAUUAAUGAGCCCAACCUGACUGAGCUCCGUAAUCCGUCACAGCAUAAAUCCUUUUCUGUUACAUGAUCGUUCCAUGGCGCAUCGGUUUGAAACGGUAGAAGUGCAUGAAAGUUGUGUAGUUUACUGUAAAAUUGGUGAUUUCUCGGUUGUCACUGUGAUGGAUUACACAGUUCCAGCAAGUUUGUGUUCAAAAGGUGUUUUAUAAGUUUUAACUUUUACACAACUUCACCACACUUGUAACUUGUUUUAUCAAGACCUCUUUAAUUUACAAGGUAAAAAAUAAAAGGAUUCAAAUCUUGACUCAAUUAUAGACUGACUGAUACCUCUUGUAAAGAUUUUAAAACUGUUGAAACACCAACAGAAUCCAGUUGAUGCCUGAUUUGCUGACAGAAACAUGUCUGGCUGUUACAACGUUGACAAAAUUCGACUGAAUUUUAAGGAUUUUACUCGCCAAGACAAAUAUUAUGGUGCAAAGAGGUGGAAAAAUCCUCUUAACUUGACCUUGGACUUGCGACAAUCAUUAAAUACCAGACAGAGAUUUGAGACUUGGUCACACACUGGUGCAAAGAGGUGUAUUUUUGUCUCAGUAACAUCACAAGGACAGUUUUAUUCCCUCUAAUCACAGCUAAACAGAUGAGGCAGAUCACAGAGCUGCUAGAAGAGGAGAGAUGAAGGUGGCAGGGGCGGAUUCAAGGUUUAGCUCAGGGUGCCCCAGCCCAAGGGGGGUGCCUCCUUCCCCUUCUGAAAUUCAAACAUGCCCUCGAAAAUCCUAAACUUUUUCUGGCUUUUUACCUUUCAUAAAUUGGACUAUUAUUAAAAAUAUAAAUAAAAAAACUAUCUUGGCUCCUCGCUGUGACUCAAAGUGCUCUGUGCUUUGUAAUAUAAGCGCAGCACAUUUCAGUUUUGUAUUUAAAUGAUUACUUCUUUCUUUUUUUUUAAGCUCAUUAAGAUUUAAUUUUGGAAAAUACGGCUUGUGUUGAAACCAUGUGUUACUUUUUAGCUCACUUAAAUUCAUAUCUUACAUAUUUAGAGAUGAAAAAAUAUCAAUUUAACUUGAUGUGAAAUAAGUCAUGUAGUCAUUUUAAAAUCAGUUGAGCCCUCAAUUCAAUGACUGUACAAUUUUAUUUUGUUGUUAUUUAUUUAUUUACUUUAUUAGAGACUCAACUGGGACUUGAAUGAAGUGUUUUGUGCCCAUCUCUGAUAUUAGAAGCCAGUUCUUUGAAAAUGUAGAUCAGACUGAGCCCUUUCUGUUAAUGUUGGCUGUCUAUUUUGGACACUCACUUUGUAUGGUCCCCCCAGGGGGUACGCUCAGCAGGGGGGUGAGAGGCGAGUUUGUCAGCCUCAGCCUGACUGCUGAUAGCGUUACGCUACCGCUGCUCUAGGUAUGUUUUAGGGGAGUCAGGGAAGACAGGUGAUGGCAACCUGCUGCGCUGCAAGGUGCCAUGAAAGAACGGUGAAGAACAUGAAUAAGUGUGGAUGAGUGUUAAAGUGGGUAAGUGCCUGUGAAGGGGACCUGACGAGCAGACUGUGAGUGGGCUGUGUGAAUCCGUAGCUCAGAGGGGGUGAGAAACUGGGGGUAGGAGGUGGAGGUUGGGAGAAGGCCAGGGUGAGACAGCAGCGAAAAUCAGCUGAAUGACUUGGAAGACAUCUCAGUGACAGGACGACACUGGUGUAACCAAACUUCAUAUUUUGACUUUUGAUGGCAAGACGCCAUCAAAAAGUAACAAUUAUUGUGAGAUUUCAUUUCCUUUAUGUUAAGCAUAAAACAAAUAAUACUUUUCCUCUUAUUUGUUGUAAACAUGGUUGAUGAAGUAUUAUUAAAAAAAAAAAAACACCAUAUUUAUAAUUCCCAACUCAAUUAUCCACUCAACGUAAGACAGUUUCAGCUCCUGCCACAUUCGCUUCAUUCACCCCGCCAGAGUACGAGCUUUUAAUCAUGUCUUUGCAUUGACUUUACAUGUAAUUCAUCCGUGUGAAUGAUUUUACUCGGGCUUGGUGUGUGGAGACAGUCACACAGAGCUCCUUCAGAAUAAAAGUAGUUAAUCAUAAAUAUAUUUUUGUUUGUUAUAUCUCUGCCACUAGAUAGUUGAUCUGACCAGAUUAUACGGCGCACAGUGAAUUAACGUGUCUACUUUCACACAUAAAGCGCUCCGGAUUGCAAGGCGCGUUAAGCAUUGGCGCAUUGAUUGGUUUAUUGUUGCUAGCAUGUACUCCGGGCCCGGGCUGCUUUACAUGAAUCCACUUCUAGUUUAGACAUUAUAGUCAGGCGGUCUUGUAGACUGCUCAGGGGUCCUGUUACGGGGCCGAUCAGGUAGUGACACAGCGUAAUGUAGUGUUUUGAAUAUCCAUUGAGCGAUGCCGCGUCAUUGUUUACCAAAGUCGUAUUUAUACAUUUCGACAGAUUUUUGAGCGCAUUGUACCAGAUAAAAAAUCGGUCAGUAAGCACAACAAGUAAUCAUACAUAAGACGCGCUGGAUUAUAAGGUGCACUGUCAAUUUUUGAGAAAAUUAAAAAGGAUUUUAAGUGCGCCUUAUAGUCUGAAAAAUACGGUAUUCCACUUUUUUCCUAAUAGAUCUCAGAAUGGAGAAUGAAAACCUCAAGUUGUGGUGUCAUAUCCAAACAUGCAAAUGUGAAACAAAAGUGUCUCGAUCUCAGACCUCAUCACCGUUUUUCCCCCUUGUCCACCCGGCCCCCCUGGACUUUUGUCAGUGCAGGUUCCUGGUGCAAUCAGUUCUGCAUUCUGCAUGUCACACAGCAGCUGUCUGCAUUCUGACAACCCAAUCAACAGGACCAGCAGGAAACCAGCGGCAGCUAACCACACUCACUGUGAUAUCACGGUCCAGCUGGCAGCCAAUGCAGAUUCAGGCCUUAUGUAUUAUGUAGCAGAGACAACACCUUCCUUUUAUUUAUUUUUAAGGACACUAUUUUCCCCAGUUCUCUUCCUUUUUUAUUCUUCUGUGGGGGAAUUUAUUUAAAAAAGAAAACAAACAAUAGUUUAGCUUCUGAUGCCAACAAUGCAAGUUAUGUUUUUCCAGAAAUUCAGCUGGAGGUGGUUCAGGUUGGGUUCAGGUACCGGCACUUCCCUGUGUGCCAAAAGGAAAUAAGCAAAACUGAAAAACAGCCCAGAGAAAAACCUCUAAAUCAAAUAGUUGUAGCAGCAAAACUAAACCAAAACAAAAGCUGUCUGUGAGUGAUACUUGAGCAGUAAACCAGCAGCUGAUUCUGCACAAAGAGUGGAUGGAAAUUAGAGGUCUGACUCCUGCCAUCCCAGCAGUCAUCCGACAAAAACCAUUUUAGUGACACUGUGCUGUGAAUGAAUCUGCCAACUGCCAACCUCCCACCUCACACCAAUCACAGAGGAGAACCAGCCUCAUUAUUCAGGACAAUUAGCCAAUGGGCUGGGUGUCUACUGUCGUUACCCAUGGCUCAUUUGGUCUCAGUCAGAUGAGAGUGCCAUGUCCACUCAGGCUGUGUGUCACUCUGGGGGGCUGACGCAGACAGACCAAAGAGCGGCAGUCGGCUUAAAAAUCACACCAGUCAGGAGUACAGUCUGGUUUUUUUUAGUGUUAAUGUGAGCAAGCAGAGGUUUAUUUCCCCAAAAGCACGUGCAGAUGAAGACUCUGCUGUGAAAGGUAACUAAAAAGACAAAAGACAGCAUCGUAAAGGAGUAAGUUUGCAACUUUGAUGAAACAUGAGGUACAGUUUGCUGCAGCCUCACAGCCCAGCAGGAUGUGCUGAUGUGAUGACAGUCAGUGAUGCUUCAGGCAGCAGUCAUGGAAACACACACACACACACACAUACACAAAUAUACAUGCAUGACUUAUCUCGUUAACACUCCUCCCCCACCAGUCUGGCGUCAAUGUGUCGUCCAGUAACCCACAGUUGGAAGGUUGGAUGCUCUGCACCUACCUCUUUCCAUCCCUUAUGGUUUAUGCUCCACAAUUUGUGCGUUUAUUUUUGAGGAUGUGAUGCAGGCAAACGAAAAAAGUGGGAUUUUAUUCCCAUAAAGCCGGCUCUGUUUCUGAAAUCCAUUAUCAAGCACAGAUGUCACCAAAGUCCUAGUCGUAUAUCUAUCAAUCAGACAAAUCGAUAACGCAUAAUGUGGUACUCAGAAAAACUUUACAUCACUUUAGUAAGUAUAAAGAUGAUAUAACUUCAUGGUGGGAUUAAUUCUUAAUAAACUACAGAUAUCAGCUACUUGGACGGUGUAUUAUAAUUUAAGUUUUAAAAAUGGGUUGAUGAUAUCUCUGUUAUAAUCGUGUCUCCGGGAUUCUGGAGAUAUCACAGAGGUAUUAAUCUUAGUUAUUCCCACAUGUCAGAUUCCCAUUUUAGAUAUGAUAAAUCCUCAUACUGAAAGGUUAUAAGUGUAAUAAUUAUUCCUUAAAGAAACAUUUGUAUUAAUUGAAAAUAUAAUAAGAUAGAGUCGGGUGAGUCUGACAUUAUCUUAAACUUUGAAAGCUGGUUGUUAAGAGACAAGAAGUGCAUCUACUUCAUCUAUCACAGAGCAAAAGUUUCUCUUCUUUAGUCGUAUAGUUUGUUUAGCAACUAUGAGUAUAUAUGAAUAUAAUAAUAAUAAUAAUAAUAAUAAUAAUAAUACAUUUUAUUUAUAGGCGCCUUUUAGGACACUCUUACUCUGGACAAUUAAAAUAAGUAAAAUAUCAGCAAAAUAUCAGCAAUCAAAAAGUUUUGAGGAAAAAAAAAGUUUUAAUAUCUAUUUAAUGUAUUUUUUAGAAAAACUGUGUCAUAACUGUGUCGUUUUUCCAGUCUAGUUUCAAAAAUCAAAACAGCAACAACCAGCAGUCCUGAGGGGUGAACUAUGAAACAGGGUUAUUUUCAUCGAAUAUUACUCGAAUAUGUGUUUCUUUAAACAGCAUAGUUUUCGUUCUGUGACGUUAGAGUUCAAAAUGUUCCCACACUCAGAUUACAGCCGAGACUUUGAACUGCCAGCAGAGAACAUCACAGGGUAAAAGUCAGUGAAAGGACGUCGACAUGCAGCCAAGUAAUGAGUUUAGAGGAGGUUACCAUGGUGAUCGAGACAGGUUAAGGCCAGCUAUCCACCAGAGGACUUUGAGAAGAUUUGGAAAAGACUCCUGGAAAACUAUCAGCGCACACCUGCUGACAUCUAAAGACAAGUGUUUAGAGUUUUCAGUCACGGCCUCGUCUCAAACGGAGAGUUUACAAAGACUGUGAAUCUUGUAGGGUCACUAUUUACAAGACUACAACUAGAUUCUAGAUUCUGGGGGCGGUGGCCAUUAAUCGGUUUUAUGUUCGCUAAUGCUAACACCCGUGUGCGCCAUACACUGAUACAUACUGAGUCCAAGGUAGCCUGUAAAAAACGUAAUUGUUGAGGUGUAGCGGUUUUUAUUUAGCCACAGCGGCACAUUUUUUCAGGAUGGCAAAACUCUGAAAUGUCUGUCAGAAGGUUCUGCGCCCAAAACAACCUGAGGAGAAAAGGACACGUCAGAUACGUGCCGUAUGAGCGCUGAAUAUUUCUCGAGUCCAGCCAUAACACCAAAGC
rnacentral:lncRNA from 1 species